CGGGGCGUAGCGCAGCCUGGUAGCGCAUCUGGUUUGGGACCAGGGGGUCGGAGGUUCAAAUCCUCUCGCCCCGACCA
rnacentral:tRNA from 1 species